CUUGUCUCUGGUGUUAGGUAUGGGUUCUUAAAAGUGAAACAUACCUAUUACCGUGUAUGUACCAGUUUUAGCGCUAGACCGAUGACCUGCUACUUAUUCGCUUACAAUAUGUUUGUUAAAGGUAACACCUUUUUAAACAAAUCUUUUCCAUUUUUUUUUCUUGCCUCUGAUGCUAUAUAUUGGUUCUAAGAGGUAAAAUAACCCUAUACUAAGGCGUAAAUACUCGUUUCAGUGCUCAACUGAUGCCCUGUUACUUAUUCGUUCCAUAUUCGCUUACUAUACGUGUGGUAUUCGGUGCACCUUUUAAAAAAUAUCUUUUCAAUUGUAUUUAUUCAUUAUUAUUUUUUAUUUUCUGUAAAUUACUCAUCUGCCGUUAUACGUAAUUUUUUUCUGACAAUUCUUUGUUUAUGAUUACUUAUGACAUGUUAAUCAAAA
rnacentral:lncRNA from 1 species